AUUGAACGCUGGCGGCAUGCCUUACACAUGCAAGUCGAACGGCAGCACGGGUGCUUGCACCUGGUGGCGAGUGGCGAACGGGUGAGUAAUACAUCGGAACAUGUCCUGUAGUGGGGGAUAGCCCGGCGCAAGCCGGAUUAAUACCGCAUACGAUCUACGGAUGAAAGCGGGGGUCCUUCGGGCCUCGCGCUAUAGGGUUGGCCGAUGGCUGAUUAGCUAGUUGGUGGGGUAAAGGCCUACCAAGGCGACGAUCAGUAGCUGGUCUGAGAGGACGACCAGCCACACUGGGACUGAGACACGGCCCAGACUCCUACGGGAGGCAGCAGUGGGGAAUGUUGGACAAUGGGCGAAAGCCUGAUCCAGCAAUGCCGCGUGUGUGAAGAAGGCCUUCGGGUUGUAAAGCACUUUUGUCCGGAAAGAAAUCCUUGGCUCUAAUACAGUCGGGGGAUGACGGUACCGGAAGAAUAAGCACCGGCUAACUACGUG
rnacentral:rRNA from 1 species